rnacentral:lncRNA from 1 species
AUUGUAUUUGCUAUAUAGUCUAAUAUUUAUUCUCUUUGAAGGUAGUAGAUAGGUUCUAUUAGCCAUCAAUAAUACUUCAUUUUGAGGUAGGAAAACCACCCUAUUAUUUGGUUGUUAUUGAAGCCUUUGUAACUUCUUUUAAACAAAAUAUUUAUAAUACUAUCAUGAAUUGUUUUUACUUCUAAUAAAAUCAUCAAACAUCAAGAGUCUCUUAAGGUUGUGAUACCAAAUAUGUUAUAUCUUGUCAUCUAUUCAAAAACAAAUAUCAUUCUUGAAGUUCUUUAUCUUUAUUACGUUAUCUUGAAGGUUGUAAUGAUUGCAAUGUCUCAUUUAGUAACUCAAUAAAUGAUAAUUU